CUCAAAUUUGAAAUCUGGCCCCAGGCCCGAGUUGUAAUUUGCAGAGGAUGCUUUUGGCGCGGUGCCUUCCGAGUUCCCUGGAACGGGACGCCAUAGAGGGUGAGAGCCCCGUCUGGUUGGAUACCAAGCCUUUGUAAAGCUCCUUCGACGAGUCGAGUAGUUUGGGAAUGCUGCUCUAAAUGGGAGGUAUAUGUCUUCUAAAGCUAAAUACCGGCCAGAGACCGAUAGCGCACAAGUAGAGUGAUCGAAAGAUGAAAAGCACUUUGGAAAGAGAGUUAAACAGCACGUGAAAUUGUUAAAAGGGAAGCGUUUAUGACCAGACUUGGGCCGGUUAAUCAUCCAGCGUUCUCGCUGGUGCACUUUGCCGGUCCAGGCCAGCAUCAGUUCGCUGCGGGGGAUAAAGGCGUCGGGAAUGUGGCUCCUCUGGAGUGUUAUAGCCCUUCGCGCAAUACCCUGCGGUGGACUGAGGUUCGCGCAUCUGCAAGGAUGCUGGCGUAAUGGUCAUCAACGACCCGUCUUGAAACACGGACCAAGGAGUCGUCUUCGUAUGCGAGUGUUCGGGUGUAAAACCCCUACGCGUAAUGAAAGUGAACGCAGGUGAGAGCUUCGGCGCAUCAUCGACCGAUCCUGAUGUUCUCGGAUGGAUUUGAGUAAGAGCAUACGGGGCCGGACCCGAAAGAAGGUGAACUAUGCCUGUAUAGGGUGAAGCCAGAGGAAACUCUGGUGGAGGCUCGCAGCGGUUCUGACGUGCAAAUCGAUCGUCAAAUAUGGGCAUGGGGGCGAAAGACUAAUCGAACCUUCUAGUAGCUGGUUUCCGCCGAAGUUUCCCUCAGGAUAGCAGUGUUGAACUCAGUUUUAUGAGGUAAAGCGAAUGAUUAGGGACCAGGGGGCGCUAUUUAGCCUUCAUCCAUUCUCAACUUUAAUAUGUA
rnacentral:rRNA from 1 species